CUUCGAUCCGUGAAAAGCGCGAAACCGUAAAAAUUCUGUAAAUCCAUCGGUAAAAACUGUCGCGUAGUGCGUAGAUGCAGUGCAGUGUAGUUCGGCAGUGUUUAAAAUUACAAAAAUCCCCAAGCUUAAGUGUUUUGUGCGAAAAAAAGUAGUGCGUGGGUGGAAGCGGAACAAAGGCCAGAAAGAAAUCGCUUAAGGUCAUCAUUUCAUUGAGCAGCCACAGCAAGAAAAGAAGAGAACGAAUGCAGCAAUACCAAUAAAACGGGACAACAAUUAAGGUCAAAUGCCUGCGCCUGGACCAUUGUGGAGAAUUUCCCUGUUACUUGAGGG